rnacentral:rRNA from 1 species
GGUGGUAAUGCCGGAUGUUCCACAUGAUCGCAUGUGAUUGUGGGAAAGAUUUCAUCGGCGUGGGAUGGGGUCGCGUCCUAUCAGCUUGUUGGUGAGGUAACGGCUCACCAAGGCUUCGACGGGUAGCCGGCCUGAGAGGGCGACCGGCCACAUUGGGACUGAGAUACGGCCCAGACUCCUACGGGAGGCAGCAGUGGGGAAUAUUGCACAAUGGGCGCAAGCCUGAUGCAGCGACGCCGCGUGAGGGAUGGAGGCCUUCGGGUUGUAAACCUCUUUUGUUUGGGAGCAAGCCUUCGGGUGAGUGUACCUUUCGAAUAAGCGCCGGCUAACUACGUGCCAGCAGCCGCGGUAAUACGUAGGGCGCAAGCGUUAUCCGGAUUUAUUGGGCGUAAAGGGCUCGUAGGCGGCUCGUCGCGUCCGGUGUGAAAGUCCAUCGCUUAACGGUGGAUCUGCGCCGGGUACGGGCGGGCUGGAGUGCGGUAGGGGAGACUGGAAUUCCCGGUGUAACGGUGGAAUGUGUAGAUAUCGGGAAAGAACACCA